UACGUAGGGGGCAAGCGUUGUCCGGAUUCAUUGGGCGUAAAGAGCGUGUAGGCGGCCAGGUAGGUCGGUUGUGAAAACUGGAGGCUCAACCUUCAGAGGUCGAUGGAAACCAUCAGACUAGAGUCCGGAAGAGGAGAGUGGAAUUCCUGGUGUAGCGGUGAAAUGCGCAGAUAUCAGGAAGAACACCCGUGGCUAAGGCGGCUCUCUAGUACGGUACUGACGCUGAGACGCGAAAGCGUGGGGAGCGAACAGG
rnacentral:rRNA from 1 species